UACAGUUAUCCAUCUGAAGCUGGAUUUAAACCAGCAAACUUUGGAUUACAAGCCCAAAUACUUGAGCUACUGAGCCACACACUUACACUGACUCAGCUUAAGUUGCAGAGACACAGUGCACUUUCUGUUGGAUGUCAGACAGAACGGCAAAGGACCCCUCACUAACAGGAACCUAAAACACACAAACACUUGGGAACACUUCAAAUGCGUGAUCUGACUCUGCAAGGGGAGAACAUGUUCAUGUGGAGUCUUGGCUUUUCACAACGUUUCAUUCCUGCUUAUAGCUAAGGUUUUUUUUAGCCGUUGUCACUCUAAGGUUGCCCAUUAAUGGUUUGGAAUUGGGAAUGUAAAGCUGUUUUGUUAGCAUGUCUGCCUUACAAUUCCUUUACUGUAUGUCGAGGCCUGCUGGAGCUCAAUUCUGCUUCAUGGCACUUGUAUUUACUCUUUAUUUUGCAUUACAUUAUGUGUGAGACUAACCCCUUUCUCUACCUCUCCAUUCCUCCUGUCGAGCUCCAUACAGGACUAGUGGAGAAAAGGGGUGCUUGGAGGGGGGACGAUAUCUCUGGAUGCCCACUUAAGAAAGAUCUGCGUUACCUUCCAAUACACCUUCCAAACUUAAGUGGAUUGAACAUGGGUGCUGUUGAAUUAAUAAAAAAAUGCACUGUAUUAAAAAUUAUUUUGUUUAUAUAACAUAAAAUUGAACUAUAAACAUGAAAUUUAAAUCUGUCGUGCAAAAAUAGUCAUGCAAAGUCAUUGAUUUAUUUUUAAUACAAUUGCACUGUGAUACAUUUAACAUCAUAUUUUCAGUUCUGCCUAACAGAACUAACAAUUUUACAGGCUUUUGUUGAAAUUACCUUAAAAAUUCAUCUGGAAUGUAUCGAUUUAUGCUGUAAUUAAUGAUGCAAAUUAACGCAGAUGGGGCCAUUUUGACCCAAAACAGCUAGUUGGAGGGUAGCAAUCCUCCAGAUUGUAAAGGUCAAGAUACUGGAGCAAAAAAGAAAAACAGUGAAAGCUGUCAGAAACAGGCAGGAAACUUUGCAUGGAUGUUUUUGAAGAGGUAGACGGGUCCAGUUGGCUGUAUUAGUCAGAGUGCUAAGAAACAUAGCGCCAACAAGCCCAUGGCCCCUUUUCAUGUAAAACUUCGUACAGGAGGCUGUUUGUGCAGUUUAGUGCCUUUGUUAGCCUCGGCUCCUGUAAAUCAUAUAAGCACACCCACCACACCCCUAGGAGCAUUCAGUGUGCCCCCACCUGCCAACCUGCCUGUCCCCCCAACCCACAGACCGUCUGUAGUUCUGAAAUUUAUCCACAUGGCUGUUGACCAAGUCUAAGGUAAAAUUCCAUAAAUGAAAUUUUCAGUAAAAUACAAUUUUUUCCUCUAAUCUGGGAGACAGUGCAGAAUUAUUGAAGUCGGUCCUAACUCUGUCUUGAAUAUGUACCCAGCAGGCACCUAGGACUCGUAUCUCCCUCUGAGAAUCUCUUCUAAGGCGCUCAGCAGCAGAAAUUCUCCAUCCUAGAUGAGCCUGCAAAGUUCUGUAGAAGUUAAAUAUACUUUAGUCAAAUGAGAGACUAACCUGCUGUCAGGCUGGGGAAGCUUGAACAAGGCCUUCAUUCAUGACAGCUCCACUUGGCUUUUUGACGAGUCCCCAUUUAGAUGCAGCACGUCAGAGACUGAAGAGCAGGAUGAAGGCUAAAUUCUCUCAAGAAAGAAGUUGCCUCUUACCAUGUCACAAGCAAUUAGUUUCACCCAAAAAGGAGGAGGACCCCUCUCUGCUCCCCGUGUUAAAAAACAAUACACCGCCUCACAGGCCAGAGCCACAGCCUUCUCCUCUCUGCUGGGUGGAAGAACAACUCUCACACAGUGGAAGUCCUCCAGACCCCCUGCCUUCAGACAAUAGGUUCCCUGGUUUUGGUCUACAUUCCUCGGUCCUCUACUGUGGAGUCUACCUUCUGCUUCACCUCAUUCUGGAGUCGCCCAUCCAGUCAGCGGCCCAUGUCCCCCUGGUUCCCUGUUUCCUGAGUCUUCUGGCAAUAUAAUCUGGUGAAUGGGGAAAGACUUCCAGCAGGGGCUCCGGUUUCCUCCCACAG